UCCGGUUUGUCACCGGCGGUCCCCUUAGAGUUCCCAACUGAAUGCUGGCAACUAAGGGUAAGGGUUGCGCUCGUUGCGGGACUUAACCCAACAUCUCACGACACGAGCUGACGACAGCCAUGCACCACCUGUAUACCGACCACAAGGGGGGCCGUAUCUCUACGGCUUUCCGGUAUAUGUCAAACCCAGGUAAGGUUCUUCGCGUUGCAUCGAAUUAAACCACAUCAUCCACCGCUUGUGCGGACCCCCGCCAAUUCCUUUGAGUUUCAACCUUGCGGUCGUACUUCCCAGGUGGGAUACUUAAUGCUUUCGCUCAGACACCAACAGUGUAUCGCUGAUGUCGAGUAUCCAUCGUUUAGGGCGUGGACUAC
rnacentral:misc_RNA from 1 species